rfam:Mesocricetus auratus contig128707, whole genome shotgun sequence.
AAAGCCAUAGUGAAUCUGGCUUUGACAUCUGCCAGCAGGGUUGAUUUGGCUGAUCCGGGUGUCUAGGUGGGUGUUCCCUUUCCUCUUCGUUGCUCUAGAUAUGUCUCCUCCUGAAACUGGAGUUUUUGGUCAAAAAGGAUGACCAUCCCCAAUAGAGGGGAGCAGUAGUCUUUGGUCAAGGGAAUAUAACUGUGAUCUCCUGCUAGAGCCUCCAAAUGAGUUCUCAAAGCCAGAUACACAAUCUAUAGCCUACUAAAGAAUUUAGAUUCAUGUUUGAGAACAGCACACAUGUUAUACCUACCUGU